GAGUGAAGAAUGGGCCCUGUGAACAGUGGUGAAUGAACCAGUUUCUGCCUUGCCGUUUUCAGCCACCAUGAAUUGCAGCCCCGCCAUGCCACCCUGUCUUGGAGCAAACUGAGUAAGGACUGAAAAUUCCAAAAACUGUAAGAAAUAAACUUUUCCUUUCCCAA